rnacentral:rRNA from 1 species
GAUGAACGCUGGCGGCGCGCCUAACACAUGCAAGUCGAACGAUUAAAGCACCUUCGGGUGUGUAUAAAGUGGCGAACGGCUGAGUAACACGUGGGCAACCUGCCCCUUUCAUUGGGAUAGCCACGGGAAACCGUGGAUAAUACCGAAUACUUCGAGACUUCCGCAUGGAAGACUCGAGAAAGCUCCGGCGGAGAGGGAUGGGCCCGCGGCCUGUUAGCUUGUUGGUGGGGUAACGGCCUACCAAGGCAAUGAUGGGUAGCUGGGUUGAGAGACCGACCAGCCAGAUUGGGACUGAGACACGGCCCAGACUCCUACGGGAGGCAGCAGUGGGGAAUCUUGCACAAUGGGCGAAAGCCUGAUGCAGCGACGCCGCGUGCGGGAUGAAGGCCUUCGGGUUGCAAACCGCUUUCAGCAGGGACGAGGCGAAAGUGACGGUACCUGCAGAAGAAGCCCCGGCUAACUACGUG